UACGAAGGGGGCUAGCGUUGUUCGGAAUCACUGGGCGUAAAGCGCACGUAGGCGGAUUGUUAAGUCGGGGGUGAAAUCCUGGAGCUCAACUCCAGAACUGCCUUCGAUACUGGCGGUCUCGAGUUCGGGAGAGGUGAGUGGAACUGCGAGUGUAGAGGUGAAAUUCGUAGAUAUUCGCAAGAACACCAGUGGCGAAGGCGGCUCACUGGCCCGAUACUGACGCUGAGGUGCGAAAGCGUGGGGAGCAAACAGG
rnacentral:rRNA from 1 species